rnacentral:rRNA from 1 species
UACAGAGGUGGCAAGCGUUGUUCGGAAUUACUGGGCGUAAAGGGCGCGUAGGCGGCCUUCUAAGUCAGACGUGAAAUCCCCCGGCUUAACCUGGGAACUGCGUCUGAUACUGGGAGGCUUGAGUAUGGGAGAGGGAUGUAGAAUUCCAGGUGUAGCGGUGAAAUGCGUAGAUAUCUGGAGGAAUACCGGUGGCGAAGGCGGCAUCCUGGACCAUAACUGACGCUGAGGCGCGAAAGCCAGGGGAGUAAACGGG